UGUCAAGAAUAGUUUCACCUUCAUUGAUCGAGGAACGGAAUUAAAUCAUUUGAAAAUUACGCAAUUACACAAAUUAUAUACAGAAAAUUAUUAACCCAUUGUAAAAUUGUAUAAUUAGUGUAAACUUACAACAUAGGAGGUGACACGAUUUCGAUAAUUCUUGGAAUUUGAUGUCACUUCUCAAAACUUUCAAAAGCUGUUUUGCGAUCUUUCUUAUGCUAUUUCUAUUUGAAUUUCUCGUUUAAUUUUUUUGUGGAAAUGGUUAGAGAAACGAAUGAAUAAAAAGAUCGUGAAAUGCUAUUAAAUUACUUUGGUUUAUUGAAACUCUUUCUAAAUUUUAUAUAAUUUUAAUAUUUUAUAUAAUUAUCUUGCAAUAAAUAAUCUUAGUUUUUAUUAUAUCGUUGGUUAUUGCUGACUGAUCCUGAUAUUAUUAUUGUUGUUUCUGUAAUCGUUGCAAAGAAACGCAAUUUAUUUCCGAUAAUUCAUUAAACUUAUAAGCAAUUUUUAUAUUUUUCCACCCUUAUCUUUCAGGUUCACAGUACGAGACACAUUUCUACUCUUAGCGUACAUACACACGUUUCUCCCACCAAAAGCACUAUCGAGGAAAUUUUUCCGUAGAGAAUUCGAAUCGUUAGCGCGAGAGCGGCGUGCGCCUGCUGUUGUAAACGGUACCCAUCGAUUCCAGCGGCGCUUGCGAAGAAAGUUUAUCGAAGUAAAAAACGUAGAUGCUACGCCACUGGACCAAAGUGCAGGGGAAUGGAUAAUGUGCAGAAUACGGUUUCGAAAGGGAGCAGGACCGCAGUAGUGCACGCAGCAAGUCAAGAUUGUCAAGAUGGAUGCUCGGUGCUGUCGGAGCGGAGUAUGGAUUUUGCCGCGUGAUUCGUAAACGAGAAUUGUCAUUGUUGUUCAGUGAGCAAAAAAGAAAAACGUGCGUCGGGAAGCAUUGUUGUUCAUGGUGUUCCAAGGUGUUCCAUAGUGUCUCAGUAUGCAGCGUUAAGUAAACGGAAUGCUUUCAUAUAGUGAUGAGAAAAGCACCUAAAAGCAGUUCGGUAGUAGCGGCCUUCUACAAUGGUGGAUAACAAUUGUAUUAUCGAGGGAAACGUCAAAUUUCGCGACGGCAAAAAGUGGAAAUCAAGAUGGUGUGUCAUGAGGAAGUUGUCACCGGUUGCAGAUUGUCUUCAUUUGCAACUUUACGGAGAUAGCAAGGAUCGAUAUAAGCAAGGUCAAACGAAAGCUUCAUUAAGUUUGCAACAUUUUCUCGGCGUGGAGAGUGGUUUCACUCUUGACAAGGAAUCCAAUACUAUAGCUAUAAUAUGCCAAGACGUGACGGUUGUUCUGGCUUUCGACACUAGAGAACGAUUGAUACAAUGGCAAGUGAAAAUCUCGAACAACUUGGGCGAAGAUCAGCAGUUCCUGAUACUGAUCUCUACGGUUCCAUCGAAAGCGAAGCUCACAAAUGGACCAGCACAUUUACACAUUCAAGAUCGUCGUUUUUGCAUCACCGUCGGCAUACCUCCCAGAUUAGUCGGUAUUUGGGAAAUCGCGCAUCUCCGACGAUAUGGCGUGGUGGAAGGACGAUUUUGCUUCGAGGGUGGUUCGAGAUGCGGCCGAGGAGAAGGUCUCCACGUGUUGAUAACGGAUCAAGGAGAAGAUAUCGUGAAGAUGCUGCAAUUAGCGGCAGAGGGGAAGCUGACCAAAAAGCGACCGGUUAGCAGAGAACAGAUAGCGCAGGAGAGCCCGCGUCGUCAGUUCUCUCGAUCGGAAACGAGGGCCAGCGAUUUUUUCCCCUCGGCUGUUUACUCGUCCACGUAUGAAGAGCAGUGCGACAGCUGCAAGAACGAGAGCUCCCCCUAUUGGUCGUCCACUGAGAGUAGGCAACAAACAGAGCUCGACAGGGAUUACAGUAGCAGAGACACUGUCUCCGUUUCGGAAUUGACCGAUCAGCCAGGGGAAUGGCGCAGCUGUUCUCUUACUCGUCAAGGAACAUCCGCUCUCGAGAGAUGCGCUAGCUGUAUCAGCAAGCUAGGAACUGUAUCCAAAUCGUCGACUUUAGCCACCACGACCGGAGCAAGCAGUAUAGGCAGUCCAGCAGGAACGAUGAAUAAUUUUGGUUGCCAUCUACAGCCACGUACGCUCGAUCGGUUAUCGUUGUCCUCGUACAGUAGUAGCAGCCACGACAGUGACUAUUCCAGUUCACAGCAGAUGGAAUGUCACUGCUCGCAAAAUUCGAAGAGCUCGCAACAACAAACGAGCGUUCAUCGCGUGUCGCCAAGCCCUAGCGCACUGCCACCGAGACCUCCGAAACCGUCCCAAAACACUGCCACGAAGAAGGUUAAGAAACCUCCUAUGCCCUUGCCAAAUGAACAAGUUUGCGUGCACUCGCGUAGCAAGCAGCAGCUGGUUGCACGAAAUGCAACCGCGGCUGCUGGUCCUUACGAGAAUUACGACGUACCCAAAACGAUCUUGGGCCAUCAUAUGCUGUUAGAACAAAGUUCCCAACCGGAUCAGUAUUACGACACGCCAAGGAAAAUUAAAGAAUGUCUAGCACUGCCAAAAACCUAUCCUAAUUACGAUACGCCACAGGCGCCUCAAGCUGUUGUAUUACAACAAUGUGGUUGCCCGGCUAAACUCACCGUUCAAUCUCCCAGAUCCUCGGGAUGUCCCUGCCAAAACAUGAUGAGUUGGGCUGGUUUUGUAUUGCCGUACUGCAGACGUGGAGCAGGAAUUGAACCAACCGGUGUUGCCGUACACCCCGUGAAACUUUCUGGAGAAGGUAAGAUGCCUGUUGUGAACGCGAGCGGGGAGAUCGCGAUUUACGCGACGGCGAAACGGCCGAAGAAGUCGGAGAAAUCGGAGAACGACGAAGACAAGAACAAAGACAAUUGCGAAUGCCCAGAGAAUAGAACGAACAAUUACGAGAACGUCGAGCCUGUUAUCGACACGCAACCUGAGUCCAAACAAACGAAUUACGCGAACAUAGACUUUACCCAAUCUCUCGAACACUAUGAGAACAGCAAAGAUCUCUUAGCAAAGAGUGGAAUUUCACAGGAGGAAAUUGAGAAAUUUUCCAAUCAAAUUAAGGACGAGACAUCUGAACCGCCCACAGAAGAUUCGUCCAAGAUAUGCCAGAAAUGUGGCCACGUUAAGGACCGGGAGAACGAUUACUUAGUCAUGGAUCUCGAAAAGCAAACACCAAAGAAACCGUUCUCUGGAUACCUACCGAUGCAGCCAGCGCACAAUGCUUGUUCGAAGGAGAUUUUGUCGAGAAUUUGUAGCGGCAUAAAGAGCUCGAGUAAUCCUGCGUUAUCAGGUUCCGCGUUAAGCGAGGGAGGGAAAAAGAGAUCCGAUUCUGAAUUUCGCGUUCCAGGUUCGGCGAUGCUGUCUAGUCCGUACCUUAGACGCCGUUACCUGGAGGGAAAUAGCGGAACAGAAUCCAACGGGAACAUUGGUCUAUUGUUGAGAAAACGAUCUUACUCUGCGGAAUCUGCACACUAUUUGGACGAUGAGAAUCAUACGUUCCCAUCGACGUUGACCAUUCACAAAUGUUCCAGCGAAGCGGACAAAGCUUCCCUGGUUAGAGGGGAGACCCAUUCCCCGUGCGUUAACUCAGAGGUCAAAAUAAAUCAAGAUAGCGGGCAGAUAUCGAUAACCUCACCUCAGCCGUCAUUCAUAAAAAUUCGACGCUCCUCUUCCGUUCCAUCCAAGACCGGUCACAAUAGAGACUCUUCUAGUAGCAACGACUCAGGCGUUUCUACGGGAUCUCUUAGUCAUAGAACGGCGGAGUUUGUCGAGUUCGAAUUGUCAUUGGCCCCAUCGACGUCGGCGAGAAAGCAAAACGUGUUGUCAGUUUAUAGGAAGAGUCCACCGCCUACGUGUUAUCACAGCAGCCUACCAAGGAAGUCCAAGUCCAGCGAUCCGCUUCGAGAGUUGUCGUUUCAGUUUCAAAAGAUUAAGAUCCCUACAAAAUCCUCUUCAGCGGAAGCCGAUAUUCCCACGUGUUUACCUAAGGCCACGAAAGGAUUCAAUAGUCCAGGGGAAGUGUCUAAUGCUCCUUAUAUCGACUCGCGAAGCACAAGCAGCGGUACAUCCGAUAUGUCCGACUACAUCGAGACACUGUCGUUGUCGUCCCACUCGUCAUCCGAUACGCCAGACAGUCUGAGACUGGGUGGCAGAGCAGUGGCAACGACGCUUCGUCCUCGCAGCGGGAAAGAGUAUUACAAGAUUGACAGAAGUAUUCUUGUUGAGCAAGGAAGAACGUUGACGACGCCAUCCGCCAAUUACGCGAAUAUUACCCCGGUGCUUGAGAAAAGCGAGUCCCCUUCGCCUGGAUACAUGAGUAGCUCUCCCUUUGAACAGCCACAACCUACUCGUGAACACUUUUUGUUUCCCGAUGAAGCUUGAACAUAGCAAAACACUGUUUGGCAAGAGAGCGGAAAACUUGAAGUUCCUAGGAAUUCCAAACAAAACCAGUAAGAGUAUUCAUGGUAGAAAUUAUAAUCGGGGCAUCGUGACUGUUUACACUAUACGCGGGUAUCUAGUAAAACUGACCAUUAACGCUCUUCGAAGCAGCACACGGUAUGAAAGGUGCAUUUCGUUAAACCGGGAAGAACGAGGAUAUCAUCUUCCAAUGGUCCAAGGUUCAGGAAUCACAGUAAGGAAUUUAUUCAGGACGGUUAUCUUUCUGCGUUCUUUAUGUCUUUUUAUGAUAAUGUCUUCUUACAAAGCGAACCCGCACAAUCAAAAAGAACCUAACAGAGGGGAGUUUUCGUAAGAGAAUCUAGGUUCUAGCGUAUAGUCGAAAUGAAGUCAAUAUACAAUUGAAAUACUUCCUACAACGACUCAAACAAUUUCUAAAAUAUGCUCAAUAAGAAACUGUAAUAGUUUGUAUAGUAAGAAUCCUGCCCUAGGAUAAAAACAAAUGUGUGCAUCGUAUACUUUAUAUGAGUAUAUCGUUUUUUGGAUAUGUUUUAUUUUAUAUGAGUAUACUUCUAUAUAGGGUAUUGUAAAGCGGUUAAACCAGAGGAUUGCAAUCAAUGCAUUCCGUGUUUAUACUGGUUAACGCGAUACCAUCGAUUUACAUUCUAAAAUAUACAACCAAAAGAUAAAGCAGAUGGAGAGGAAGAAAGAAAAGAAAAUGCAAUGAAAGUAGUCAGUUGCAUAGCGUUCACAGGGUUUUCAAAUCUUUACUAGUUAUUUUCUAAAGGCUUAAGAUAAACAUUUAUAUAGCCGUGAAAUGGUCUUCUUUUUAACGAGAUUUAUAUGGUGGAUAUCGUAGUCUGUGGGCAAUCAAAGAUGGCACUAUGUAUAGAUUAUAAACAAGAUUUAAAUAAGUCCUAAGGAUACGCGAACUGAUAUAAAACUCGAAUUAUUUUUAUUGAACAAUUUUAAUGGUUCAUGGGCAGACAUUUUUAUUCGCAAUCAUUCUCGUCGUAAUACGUUCCCAUUUUUACACAUUCAUGUACAUUCGAUUUCAUAUGAUUUUCCUAUUAGAUUUACGUAGGUCUACGCAACGAAUUAGUUCUUAGAAUCAUAAUUGCAAUAUUAUAUUUCCCUUCUCAUUUUUUUAUUCGUAAUAGUAGCAAACGUACUUAAGAUAUUUUUUAUUCGUACUUAAGAUAUAUCUAUGUCGUUUCGUAUGCGCGAAGAACGUAUAUGUCUAUGGAAUUCUUUACGAAAAAAAGCGACAAAAAGAAAAAAAAAAAGAAACGAAGAAUAUUUAUUUUUACUUCAACGGUGCAGGAUCUUUUUGAUAAUAAAAGUAUAUCGUAGACGAUUAAGCGAGGGAGCUAGUACGACGUAUCGAAGGGAAAUCGAACUAGUUAGGCCUAUUUUACGUCUGCACGGCUUCGGACUUUCUUUUGAUCGUCAUUAACAAAAAAGAGAAAGAUUGAUUAUAUAUAUAUGCGCGAGCUGUAAUUGCGAAUUUUUUCAUGGCAUGCAAUUUUUCUUGCUUAUGUCGAAAUCGCGCAUGAAAAGCAAUAAAAAAGAGAAAUAAAACAAAGAAACGCGCGCAAGUUUACGCGAUCGUUAAUAGAAUCUUGCACCGAGGAUAAUCGAGUUUUGGGACGCGCUGGUCGGGCUGGUCGAUAUUGAUAUUAUGCAAUGCAGUGAUACUGAACGCAAUAAUAGAAAUGCUAGGAGUUAUAUGGCCAUUAAGAAUGAAAAGAAAGAAAAGAGAGAAAGAGAGAUAGAGAGAGAGAGAGAGAGAAGUGAAAGAAUCGAUAUCGAGUGUUUUCGCAAUUGAAAUAUAUUAAAGCGGAUUAUUCUCUGUUUCACGUACAUGUUACGCUCCGCGGAGUGGAUAAUCAAAUCAGUAUUCAGAAUCAAAAAGAUCAACGGUAACGUGGGUUUACCAUGCAUAUUAGAGGUUCAUUGAACAAUGUAAAGUUAACCGGGAAUCAUGAUUCAACGACAAUAUAGCUUGUAUUCCCACCCCUGUCGCCCCUCUCCAACACUCAAGGAAUUGUUUUCAUCGAGCCAGAACAGAAUUUGUAAUAUACGAUAAAUUGUAAUAACUCUCUAAUACUACUACGUCCGUCGAUGAUUUUUCGAGGUUAUGUUCUGGUCUAACCUUCUUUUACUUUUUUCUAUCAGAGCAAUCGCAACUAUCGCUGUAGCAAUGCCACGCUUGUCCUUUUUAUCACGCCGCGGUUUUUUGUAAGGAUCCGAAGCGAAACGGGCCACGAGCAAAUAGCUCUAAAGGCUGUUUCGCACACAGAGCGAUUAUGUAUAAAGAAUUAUAUACUUACAGUUGACUUUAUAACGAAUUGUAAAAGUAUUAAAGUAGUAUUAAUCACAAGACUGAAUGAAAAAAAAAAAAAAAGAAAAGAGAGAAGAAUGAAAUAAUAGUUGCUGUGUGAUUAAAUCGUAGGAAAUAUCUAAAGAAGCUAGAUUUAUAUAUCAUUUUUGUUCACGCGUGCGGCUCCCUUCGAGCGCCAUUUUCCGAUUAACCAUUUUUAAUCAGGGAGACUCUUCUCUCCAUUUUAUUUUCUACUCUGCAUUCCGUGCAUCGAACCUGUGUCUGUGUCUUCUAUAAUAUCGUAGAUAUGGCGAGACGUAAACGCGAAAGAAAAGAAAAAUACGGAAAAACAAGACUAAGGUUAGACACUUGUCGCGCUUGGCAAAUUUAACAGGUACCAAGCCGCUCUGCUCUGUCCAAGCUGUCCGAAUUUCAUAUGCUUAAUUACAUUACGAGAAACUCGUAUUCUCCAUACGAAUGAUUUAUAGAACACGGCACGAAGGAUGCUUGUCGAGCAAGAAUCGUACGAAUAUUAUUAAAAUGUCAAGAUUAUCCGAACGUAGAAUUAAAUCGAUCGACCUUUAUAUUUCUCUCGCGAGGGUCGUAGAGACCCGGAGGAAGUUGUUAGAACGUAACGUCGAGAAAAGGUAUAAUCUUUAAGAUACAAGCUGACAUUGUACCCCACGAUUUUCCAGUAAAUAUUGUAUAAUAUUAAAAGGAAUAAUAGAGAUGCGUGACGAGAGUGCGUCCACGGAUUUAUUACGCGACUCUAUUAUACGUUGCAUCCGAUGAUUCCCAAUCGAAUAGAACGAGUUUCGAAGCGACGAAAAAAUGAAACGUCUCGACGAGAGCGUACCGUUUAACGCGAUCGCUAUUAUCGAUACUACGUGAUGGCGUAAGAAUUGGGAAUCGGUUCUAUGAACACAUGCUAGUCAAAGUUAAGUACUAUCGUAGCGAUAAUAUAUUUUUACUGUAAAAGGGACUAUCGCGGACAGGUCGAAGGCUGAGCACGCGCUCCAUUGUACGGAAGGAGCUCGUUAUUCGAGCGACCAAAUCGUCAAUUGAAUCGUCUCUUCUUCUUUAUCAUUCCAUUUUUAGAAAAAUAUUCGAUUGCAACGUACAAAAAUCGAAUCGUAUCGUGUAGUUACAAAGCUAUAGCAACGAUUGCAUUUAUAAUAAGACUUCUUAAAUGCUAACAGGUAGCUUCUAGUCAACAAAGGAUCAAUCCGAAAAGUACGACGAACGCAGAAGAAUAAUCAAAUCGAGUUUCUCGCACGUUGCCAUACAACGUGUUCGGAUGACUCUCUGAUACGCUCUAGAAAAAACACGAUCCCUGCAGGCAUUCGAACGAGCUUGAGACGAGAUGACGAGGAAUUGCUGGAAGUCGUGAAGUUGCGUGCCAGCCUUCGAGCCUCGAACAACCAUAUCUAAGAAUUUACUAACGAUAUUAUUGAUCACGAAUAUCGGUGUGUGGCAUUAGCGUAACCGAGGUUUCUUUAUUUUGUGAUCCGAGAGAAUCGCCGGUAGAGAAGACGAGGCACGACUUUUACUUAAUGUAUAUACCAGAUAAUAUACAGAAAGAAGAGAAUGGAACGGCUCGAGAGGAGAUUGAGAGAUAUCUAUCUAGCGUGACGAAAUGCGCUGAGAUCGUCUUCGGUAACCAUUAACGCGUUUCGAUUGAUUUCGCUCGCGCGUGACAAUGCCGCUUCGUGUAAUUGCACGUUCAACGAUGGAAUAAUUGGUUCGCGAGAAACAAAGAGAGAAAGAGAUUUAAUGGCGGGAGAACCGCGAGCGGUCCGUAUUGUCGUCGUCAGGGAUUAUUUAUGCGAUACGAGCAAUCUGAAACGCUUUACCGCGCGUACACAUAUAUACACAUGUACACAAAUAGAGACACACGUACACACAGAGAUAUUGUAGCAUACGAACGUCAGAGACAAAACCAAAAAGGUAAGAAGAGAGACAGACAAACUGGCGAUAUUUGUUCUCUCCGUGUGAAUUUAAAUCUGUCUUUUUUUUUUUCUUUUUUUUAAUGUGUGUGCAAUGGUUUCGCGAUCGGUUUUCGAGAGAAGAAACUAAUCGCGAAUCGUUUGUACGUACACGCGAACACAGAUGCAUAAGCAAUCCGUUCCUCGUGAUCGUCGAUGCUAUCGACUCGACUCGAAAGUAUUCUCGAUUGCACGCGAUCGUAGUAAUUACGGGUAAAAAUGGGGGAAGUGCAAUCGAGAGGGGACGCGCUGCGUCUUCCUACGCUCUUCGAUUCUUACUUAACGCGUUCUCGUUUCUUCUUCUGCGAUAUCGUCGAGCCACCGAUAAAAGGAUAUUUCAGUUCGACGAACUGCUAAUGGCCGUUUGCUUCUUAAAGUACAUUCUUAAGGUACAUCCUUCUUAUAUUUCGAGUAUACGAUCUCUGGUUGGAUGAUUCAUGGUCGUACUUUCAACGAUACCAAGAGAGUUACAAGAAGUUUGUUGUAACUCUACUGUGAUUCUCAAAUUUGUGUAUCUCGAUCUUACGUUCAAUUUUUCGAACGAAAACGGUUCUUUGAUGUUUGACGAGAAUGGUUAACGUGAAAUUACAAUGGCAAAUUUUUUCGUACUUUGUUCGAAAUUAAUUUUUUAACGUUACAAAAAGAUACAACUCUCUAUUGUAAUUACAUAGAAUACGCGACACGAACAACAAUUAUUUACGCUGUCCUAACUAAUUAGAAAAUUACUCGACCAGUUAUCAUUCGACGAGAUUCCCAAUAAAAUAUUCAUCCUCGAUUUGUAAUCUAUUAUACGAUACUCGCUUUAAAUACGCUGCUUUCCUUCUUAAUAGUUUUGAGCAGCUUUACGCGUGCGAUCCAACCGUCUCCGUGUGCCAGGUAAAGAAAAGAAAAGACGUUAAGCGCAAGAAUGCGAGGGCUAUUUCGACGAGACCGAUAGCAUCGAGUCACGAAGUCUCCUGUACAUACUUCUGCCGCAGACAGUCUGCUGAUCAGACGGACGAUGAUCGUGUGCAAAUGAAAGAACGCUAUAGAUAUAACGAAAGAAGUAACACGUUGGUUGCACGCGAGUCAUUCCAAGCGAGCUGGUUCCGCGUAAACGAUUCGCAUGUGAUGAAUACCGUGCCAUCUUUAUUCAGCUAUUAUUUAUAACCUCAAAAUGGCACGCGUUAAGGCGAUAGAUGUGUACUUACGUAAAAGAAUCGGAAAGGGGAAUGCGUGAAUUCCACUAGGCGAUAAGGGCAUACACUGCAAGAGCACCGAGAAAAGGAGAGAAAAGAGAAAUGAGCAGAUCGGAAUCCGUUUACUUUGACAAUCCGUUCUCGACAUAAAACGAAAGAAAAUAUUCAGUUCGGACUGUUCGAAUGUACUACAAAGGAUUCGAAAGAACGAUCCUCGUUUUAAGCGAAGAUAUCGUUCAGAGAAAUAGAGAAAAUUUUAUAUAAAGCCAAUCGCGAGAAAUCGUCCUUCGACAGUGUGUUUAAGUUCUACUUCCCCCCCCCCCCCCAUGAAAGAGUUCUACGAAUUAGAAGAGGAAAAUAUAUAGAAUGGAAAGAUGGUAUUUUACAAUUGCGCGAUGGAAGGUGUUUGUUGUCGAGAAUCUCGAGAAAAUAUUUAAUAUACAUAAAUGCCGCGUUUAUUUUCGAAAUCCUCAUUAUUAUAGCGUAAACGUCGACGCGUUUAAAGGCGCGACGAUGAAUUCGAAAAGGGCAAACGAAACGAUAAAGCGACGGGAGCUUACGUACCGGGCCAUAAUCACACGUUUAGAACGCAUUCCAUCGAACGGUGAAUGGAAAUUUCCGAUCGAUUUAUCUUUUUCCAAGUUUUUUAUAAUCAAGGUAAGCGGGUGCGUGUGAAUGAGCGAGGGUGAUCGAAGAAAGAAAGAAAAAAGGAAAAAAAAAUUCAUUAUUACGUAUUUCGUAAGUAAAUUAUAAAAGGAACUCAUACACAGUUUGUAGCGACUCGAGUCACUGAUUUAUUAAGAAAGUAGAAGAAAUAAAGAGAUUAAAAAGAAA